AUACAGCUGACGAGUCCCAAAUAGGACGAAACGCGCGUUCUGGAU
rnacentral:hammerhead_ribozyme from 1 species